UCUUAUAUAUAUAAUAAAGUUUCAUUUUUACAGUACACUAAAACGAUUUAUGGAAUACUUAAUUGGUAGGUUUGUGAGAUGUUUAGUUUUUUAAACAUUUACUUAAGAAAAUACGGCAGUAUUCUUUAAAAAACAAGAUUUUGUAUCACAUAAUCAAAUUAUAAAUAAUCACCUGUAAAAUUCUUUAUAAAAUUUAUAAUAUGCACAAUCAGUUGUUGAUAUAUAAUGUUAUAAAGAAAAUGUAUUUAGGUCAUCUUCAAAUCACACCAAUGUUGCAUGUAAGUUCUGAGAAGCAAACACCAUACACUAUAACAAAAAUAAUUGUUAAUCACAAGUUCUAUAGUUAUAUUUUUUCUACUCUCCCUCCAGCAAUACUUUGGAAAUUUUCUUAGAUUUUAACUUUAAAAUAUCGUAUAUAAUAAAAUGAAAUAAUAUAAAAUUAAACUAGUAAAAUGUUUUUAUAAUAGAUUUCUAAUAAUAAUAUUUUUUGUUUUUGUACUUAUUAUAUUGAUCUAAAAAAACACUAGUAUUAAUUUAUUAAUUAUGUGUGUAUUUUUAUGUUUGUUUCUCUACCAUAAUGACUCGAAUUUUAAUUAU
rnacentral:lncRNA from 1 species